CUGUUGGAAGGGAAGAGAAGAGAAGUGGAACCAGAACCAGAGAGGAUGGGCUAAUUGGCCAGGUCCUUGGAGGUCAGGUACCUUGAACCUUUCCAAGAUUCUCUCUCUUUCUCUCUCUCUGUCUCACACACACACACACAUACCAGCUCUCACUGAAAUUAAACUAUAACUGAAGACAUCACACACACACACACACACACACACCAGCUGUCACUAAAAUUAAACUAUAACUGAAGACAUCACACACACACACACCAGCUCUCACUGAAAUUAAACUAUAACUGAAGACAUCACACACACACACACCAGCUCUCACUGAAAUUAAACUAUAACUGAAGACAUCACACACACACACACACACCAGCUCUCACUGAGAUUAAGCUAUAACUGAAGACAUCACACACACACACACACACACACACACCAGCUCUCACUGAAAUUAAACUAUAACUGAAGACAUCACACACACACACACCAGCUCUCACUGAAAUUAAGCUAUACUGAAGACAACACACACACACACACACACCAGCUCUCACUGAAAUUAAGCUAUAACUGAAGACAUCACACACACACACACACAUACCAGCUCUCACUGAAAUUAAACUAUAACUGAAGACAUCACACACACACACACACACACACACCAGCUGUCACUAAAAUUAAACUAUAACUGAAGGCAUCACACACACACACACACACAUACCAGCUCUCACUGAAAUUGAAGCCAAACUAUAACUGAAGAUAUCACACACACACACACACACACCAGCUCUCACUGAAAUUAAGCUAUAACUGAAGACAUCACACACACACACACACACACACACACACACACC
rnacentral:lncRNA from 1 species